GCAGGACAGUGUGCACAGUGUCAGUCUGUGUUAUGGGGAGCAGUCGCUUGCGUCUUGCAUUCCGGCUGCUCUCCUCACACAUCGCCUGUGGCCAGAGAUCAACAUGAGAUCAUAGUACCGGUCUAGUGACGUCCGCGCGACAUCUACACCGCUGGCCGGCCUCCGAACUCCCAGACAUUC